UACGUAGGGUGCAAGCGUUAAUCGGAAUUACUGGGCGUAAAGCGUGCGCAGGCGGUUCGCUAAGACAGAUGUGAAAUCCCCGGGCUCAACCUGGGAAUGGCAUUUGGGACUGCAAGGCUGGAGUGCGGCAGAGGAGACUGGAAUUCCUGGUGUAGCAGUGAAAUGCGUAGAUAUCAGGAGGAACACCGAUGGCGAAGGCAGGUCUCUGGGCUGACACUGACGCUCAUGCACGAAAGCGUGGGGAGCAAACAGG
rnacentral:rRNA from 1 species